ensembl:lncRNA novel transcript, antisense to UBR5
GUUUUUGGUGGUUCUUACAGACUUGAGAUGGGGCUUGUCUUAAGGAAACAAGGUGCCCUGAAUCUAAAGACUGACUAAAGGUGGUAGAACUUAAGCUAUUUAGGUGAUCCUGAAACCAACAGGGACAGUUAUGGUAUUGACUAGUGGGAACUUUUAAGAGCCAUAAGACUGGAGAAGUCAAAUGCUGACCAAUUAUAUCAAACCCACCUGGGGAACAAACUAAGUCAAAAUUACUAGGGUGGCUAAAAGCUGAGAAAUGAACUAGGUGGCAGUUAGGACUGCUGAACAAACCCAUCUCACCAUAGCAGAGAAAUAUUAGAAUACACCUAGAGCCAUGUAAAGAUUCAGGAGUGCUAAAAGCAUGAAUUCCCCUCCUUCCCUCCACCACCCCCAAAAUAAGCUUCUGCCUGAAUGAAGGUAACUGGGAAUCUGCAAUUUUUUUCUUUCCUGCACAAAUAACCACUUCCCCUUAUUCAAAUAAAAUAAAGGAUAUAUCUAGAAAUCUGAUCAUUUUUAAAUAUUUCCAGAAGUGGUCUAGUUUAGAACUAAGGCUGGUUAGACCGGGGCAAUGUUCCAGGAGUACAGAAAGGAUCUUCCAGGGUCUUCUAGAUAAGGAAUGUCCUUCAAAUUUCUACAAGAAAGUCUGCAGCAUACUGCCUUUCAAGAUUAAUGGACAGGAUGAUUUGGUUAUGGUUUUACUUGAUGGGUGGACGUAAGUUCCACUAAGAGGUAGACUUUCCACUAAGAUCAAAGCUUCUGUUAUCUAAUUUAUAAUUCUAAGUUAGCUGGGGCUCUGUACUAAUAAGAUUUUGAAAGACUUAGUACCCACAUAUCACAAUUAAGCUACUCUCUUCCUAGUAUGCAGAUAACAAUCAAGAUAAUACUCAGAAAUUCUGUCAAGGCUUGGCACUAGUCAAAAGGAUUAAGGAUGUAUACAGGGAGAAGCAUAUGUAGGCAGUGCGAUAAAGAUAAAAAGCCAUGUUGCAACAGUAAACUGGUAUCUUCUGGGACUAAGGACAGCAUAUUAACAGCUAAAUGUACUUCACUCUGCUUAGAGCUUUAGUAAUACUUCAGAUAUUGUUAUAGAGCAGAAAAACAAAAACUGCCUUAUUUGUGACCUUCUAUAAUUGCCCUACCCAAAAUUAAAAUGACCAACCAUUACAAACUUAAAAGGCCAUCAUACAUGGUAUUUUUAACUUCUGUAUUUCCUUCUACAAAUCUUGUGAAAUUUUUAACUUACAAGAUCUUGUCGUUCUGUCAUGCUCAUCUUCUCUACUAUUGACCAGAACCAACGCUUGAACUGCAGAAGCUUCUCAGCAUUUUCUCCUAAGAAUGAAGAAUGUAAAUAAAAUAUACUAUACCAGUUGUUGUUAUUAUCUGUAGAAUAUUACUAAUCUUCUUAUAAUAAAAGGAUACAGAUUAAAACAUUA